rnacentral:rRNA from 1 species
GAUGAACGCUAGCGAUAGGCUUAACACAUGCAAGUCGAGGGGCAGCACAAGGUAGCUUGCUAUCUGGGUGGCGACCGGCGCACGGGUGCGUAACGCGUAUGCAACUUGCCCUAUACAGGAGGAUAACCCGUCGAAAGACGGACUAAUACUGCGUAUGCUCACAACUUGGCAUCAAGUGGUGAGGAAAGAAAUUCGGUAUAGGAUAGGCAUGCGUCCCAUUAGCUUGUUGGUGAGGUAACGGCACACCAAGGCAACGAUGGGUAGGGGAACUGAGAGGUUUCUCCCCGAUACUGGUACUGAGACACAGACCAGACGCCUGCGUGCGGCAGCAGAUCGGAAUAUUGGUCAAUGGGCGCGAGCCUGAACCAGCCAAGUCGCGUGAAGGAUGACUGUCUUAUGGAUUGUAAACUUCUUUUAUACGGGAAUAACACGAGUCACGUGUGACUCCCUGCAUGUACCGUAUGAAUAAGCAUCGGCUAACUCCGUG